rnacentral:misc_RNA from 1 species
AAGUCGUAACAAGGUUUCCGUAGGUGAACCUGCGGAAGGAUCAUUACUGAGAGGUUACUAAGCCUUGGGGUUGGCCUAACUUAAGGUCUUCUCUUAAGGUUCCUCACAGUUUUGUGCAAUGUUGGGUCACCUUGGUUGACUCUGCCUAAAGCUCUUGACUUGAAAAAGACUUGAGCAAUGGGCUGGCCUUAGGGGCCCCUAGUAUGUUUAUCAUACUAACCCCAAAGGUUUUUUCUACUAUGUCUAUGAAUUGAUGUAUGAAAAAAGUUAUUUGUUAACUUGAAGGCUUCUGUAAAAAGAGUCUUUAAAAACAACUCUUGGCAAUGGAUCUCUUGGUUCUC